UCAUUAAUGAAUUGUAAAUGGGGGUUUGAUGCUGGCAGCCUAGCUGCAUGUGCUUGCCUUCAACAAUCUUUAUCCUUAAACACCUGUGCACCUUUUGAGGGUUUUUGAGUUUGAUCUCGGAUCCCCUUAUUCUUACAUACUCUGCCCGUAAUGUCGAAUGUGAUUGUGCCAUUUGAGGCAUUAAUAAAGAAAUAUAACUUUUAACAACGGAUCUCUUGGCUCUCGCAUCGAUGAAGAACGCAGCGAAAUGCGAUAAGUAAUGUGAAUUGCAGAAUUCAGUGAAUCAUCGAAUCUUUGAACGCACCUUGCGCUCCCUGGUAUUCCGAGGAGCACACCUGUUCGAGUGUCGUGAAGUUCUCAGGCUAGAUGCUUUUUUAAAAGCAGUCGAAGCUUGGUUUAUUGGGCUCUGCCGUAUUCCUUUUAUUUGGGGAUGGCUGGCCUUAAAAGCAUUAGCUGAUCCUCGUGUAGCAUUGGUUUGACUCAGUGUGAUAAUAAUUUGACCGCUGAGGACAUCUUGUGAGAUGGCCAAGUCUCAUUUGGUUCGCUUCUAAUCUGGAAUUUUCUUCCACUCUUCAAUCUUGACCUCGAAUCAGGUGGGACUACCCGCUGAACUUAAGCAUAUCAAUAAGCGGAGGAAAAGAAACUAACAAGGAUUCCCCUAGUAACGGCGAGUGAAGCGGGAAGAGCUCAAAUUUAAAAUCUGGCAGUCUUCGAUUGUCCGAAUUGUAAUCUAGAGAAGUGUUUUCCGCGCUGGACUGUGUACAAGUUUCCUGGAUACGGAACAUCAUAGAGGGUGAGAAUCCCGUCCUUGACACAGACUCCCAGUGCUUUUGUGAUGCGCUCUCGACGAGUCGAGUUGUUUGGGAUUGCAGCUCAAAAUGGGAGGUAAAUUCCUUCUAAAGCUAAAUAUUGGCGAGAGACCGAUAGCGAACAAGUACCGUGAGGGAAAGAUGAAAAGCACUUUGGAAAGAGAGUUAAACAGUACGUGAAAUUGUUAAAAGGGAAACGCUUGAAGUCAGUCGCGUCUGCUUGGAUUCAGCCUUAUGGUGCAUUUCCUUGUAGACGGGCCAGCGUCCAUGUUGUUUGUCGGAAAAGGGGUGAAGGAAUGUGGCUCCUUUGGGAGUGUUAUAGCUUUCACUCGUAUGCGGGGAAUGAUAUGGAGCGGUACAGCAUGCUUCGGUGGUGCUUGUGCUGGCAUAAUGGCUUUAAACGACCCGUCUUGAAACACGGACCAAGGAGUCUAACAUGUCUGCGAGUGUUUGGGUGGAAAACCCGAGCGCAUAAUGAAAGUGACUGCUGGGAACCCCUUUUGGGAGGCACCGGCGCCCCGAGCUGACCUUCUGUGACGCAUCGGANGUAGAGCAUACAUGUUGGGACCCGAAAGAUGGUGAACUAUGCCUGAAUAGGGCGAAGCCAGAGGAAACUCUGGUGGAGGCUCGUAGCGAUUCUGA
rnacentral:rRNA from 1 species